GACGAACGCUGGCGGCGUGCUUAACACAUGCAAGUCGAGCGGAGCGGCGAACGGGUGAGUAAAGCGUGAGUAACUGCCCCCCUCUCUGGGAUAACAGUUGGAAACGGCUGCUAAUACCGGAUAGUGGGGGAUGACUCGCGUCCUAUCAGCUUGUUGGUGGGGUAGUGGCCUACCAAGGCGACGACGGGUAGCCGGCCUGAUAGGGCGACCGGCCAAAUGGGGCGGAGAUACGGCCCAAACUCCUACGGGAGGAAGCAGUGGGGAAUAUUGCACAAGGGGGGAAACCCUGAUGCAGCAACGCGCGUGCGGGAGGACGGCCUUCGGGUUGUAACCCGCUUUCAGCAAUGACGCGGUACUUAACCAGAAAGGGACGGCUAACUACGUGCCAGAAGCCGCGGUAAUUC
rnacentral:rRNA from 1 species